CUAUGGUAAUGUGUUGAUGGCAGGCUCUUCUCUGUGGGCCUCUCAUAGUAUACCUGUGCCAGAGGAGCAUGCAGCCCCGAACUAUUGCCCAGCUUCCUCACUGGUGCACUGUGAGCACCAAAGGGGACUGUGUACUG
ensembl:snoRNA